rnacentral:rRNA from 1 species
UACGUAGGUGGCGAGCGUUAUCCGGAAUGAUUGGGCGUAAAGGGUGCGUAGGCGACCUGCUAAGUCUGGAGUGAAAGGUACCGGCUCAACCGGUACAGGCUCUGGAAACUGGCGGGCUAGAGAGCAGGAGAGGGCGGUGGAACUCCAUGUGUAGCGGUAAAAUGCGUAGAUAUAUGGAAGAACACCAGUGGCGAAGGCGAUUCUCUGGACUGUAACUGACGCUGAGGCUCGAAAGCGUGGGGAGCAAACAGG